rnacentral:rRNA from 1 species
AGGAGUCAGCCGCCUAAGGCAGGGCAGAUGACUGGGGUGAAGUCGUAACAAGGUAGCCGUAGGAGAACCUGCGGCUGGAUCACCUCCUUUCUAAGGAA